rnacentral:sRNA from 1 species
GCCGGGCGCGGUGGCGGGCGCCUGUAGUCCCAGCUACUCAGGAGGCUGAGGCAGGAGAAUGGCGUGAACCCAGGAGGCGGAGCUUGCAGUGAGCCGAGAUCGUGCCACUGCACUCCAGCCUGGGCAACAACGUGAGACUCUGUCUCAA